GAUAAAACAUUAGAAAUAUGCAAGAUAUCAAAAGACUUUUCGACAUGCCCGUGACUAUUGAAUACAGUAUCACUUUCAAUCUAGAUGAUGUUUAAUGGCUAAAUCAUCUAUUCUUCUUGCAUAUUCUAAGACUGGAAGCUGUUUUCUUCCACCGUCAAGGAAUCCAGGAUCGUAGCUAUAUCGGUUCACAUGAUCCAUCAAGACCCAAACUGUUCAUAUUCAUUGGUACAUCCAAUUGCUUCCCACAAAGGAAGGAGCAAGAAAGACAAGAAGACGACAAUAAACCAAAAUCGAGGUUUUUCUAAUUAUUAUAGAUUUCUUUCUUUUCAUUUGCUGAAAGUUUUGUAUUUUGCCUUGGAAUACCUUGGAAUGCGAUGUUAAUGAGAACAUUUCAGACUACUGUAUGUUCAGAUAAGCACUGGAUAUUGAAGAAGAAACAUGAUAUGGAGGACUCCGGAAGGCAUGAAACCAUCUGUACUUUCUUACGGAUUUUGCUUUCUUUUUCCUCUCAUAUGUAGUCCAGAAGGUGUGGAGAGUUGAUGGGGGUGGAUCUGAUAAUGGUCGAUCAAAAGGUAACUAUUCUUACUGUUUACUUCGAUUUAACAUCUUCUGGAUUAUCCUACUUGUGUGUCCUCUUAUGUGGCCACAGUCAAUAAAGCAACAUAGCUUCUGUUCAGGCUCCGAGACACUGAAACCGUCGUCAUGUACCCUAUGGCAGUCACAACCCUUCUGUAUUCAGAUCCGUGAUCAAUUUGAUGGGUUAGUUCUUUCUUUUCUUUUGUGUGUAUUUACAUGCCGAUACUGAAGCUGGAUUUAAAUCCCUAGAUCAGAUUUUAAUUUC